UCGAAUAAUAUAAAAAAUAAAAUAUAUAUAUUGACAUGGAUUAAACAAAGAUAUAUAUUAUUCUAUGUUGUAUAAACAAAUUGGCAAAAUAGAGAUGGAAGAUAAAAAUAUGGUCAAAGUAAUAAGAGUCUAUGGUGAAUGCCUAGGAGCUUUAAGGCGAAGAAGGUCGUGGUAAGCUGCGAAAAGCUUGGGGGAGAAGCAAACAUUUAUUGAUCCCAAGAUUACCGAAUGGAGUAAUCCAGCUAGCAAGAUGCUAGCUAUCUAUUAUUUAAAUAAUAGAGGCGAUACC
rnacentral:misc_RNA from 1 species